ensembl:lncRNA
GAGAAAUACGAAGAGAAAUGCAGUUCCACCAGAGUCCAAAUUCCCCUGGCCUCUGCAAGCUAGUCAGUAUUUCUCAGACUGAGCAGAAGGAAAAAAAUGAAUCCCGAAAUAGAUACAAAUCUAAAAAUUAGCUUGAGCUGAAGAAGAGAAAAGCUCUGAAAAGAGCACAGAAGUUGUCCCUUAGUGGUGGCGUGUGAGACGUGGUGGACCACAGAGAGCUCAUGGACAUGGGUUCAAAAAUGCAGAAAGCACAGCAUGAAAGCAGUGCGUCACAGAAGUGAUUUUGAUGAAGAGGAACAUGGACAUCCAGAGCAUAUGUCUAUUCUCUCAAAACAUGCCAACACGAUCCCUUCAGUUUGAAACGGAUGGAUCAAAGCUUUGAAGUCCAUUUGUACUAAUGGAUCCGGAUCCAGCUUGUAGAUACCUGACCUCAUACUACAUGUUUUUUUAUUAAAUAGUCUCUUGGUGAAUGUCAUACUAGCAAACCAAAGUUUGGAGGCUCUUUCCUCAUUGAAAAGGCAGCUGCUGUGUCACAGUGUUAUAUCCCAUCAUCUUUGUAUUAGCAGCCAAAGUGAAAGGCUCUAGACUGUAUUAAAAAAAAAAAAAAGUAAUAAAGCUUCAUCUUUUUUCAUUUUGGGACUCAAAGCAAAAGCUCCGAACAUUCUGUUUACCAUUUUUAUUACACAAUAUUGGCAUUCUUAAAGUCUGGAAUGAAACCUUUUUUCGUUUUUUUUUUUUUAUUCAUUAAAGUGCUCAGUAUCAAUGGACUGUUUCUUACUUUCCAUGUAUUACGACAAAACAUUAAGCUGAGGAUAUCUGUUGCCAUUGUUAAAGCACUGCGUUCUUGUGUGACUGGAAAUCCACUCUCUUCAUUGCUCCCUUUUGUACGCCCUCCAUGAAGCCAACUGGCUUCAGCUGUUGACAGAUAACAAGUGAGAACAAGAAGAGGUGUUAAAAAAAACUGCCAGGAAAGUCUCCAAGCAGUGCUCAGUGUGAGCAGACCUCUCUCGUUAGCCACCCCAGGAGAAAGCUCUGGCCGAAGCAACACGCCUCCGUCUCAGAUGCCUGUGCUGUCCUGUGAGACUCCUCGUUCUUCUGGGCUCCGCUGGUCUGUUGAGUCCAGCUCUGUCUGAUAGAGCUGCUGCUUUGCUUCUGAUUCCUGUUGUUGCCUGCCGCAUUGUGAGUUCUACACACCACGCAGCAAAAGAAGCAAUGACAAAUCUGAGAGCUGUGGAGUGAAACUGUGCUAGAAUUUGCUAAUGGGAGAUGGAGGAAGACGAGCAUAGUGAAACAUGGCCAGGCCCAGAGAAUGCAUGUGAGGUGGCUUGAAGAAAUGUAUCAGACCGAGGGAAUAAGAAGGUGAAAUCCUGAGAAUUAUGUCCCAGCUGUGACAUGGCAGACCAGAGGUGAUGCUUUAGAAGCACAGGGUGUAUGCAUUCUUAUAUUCCUUUGCCCUCUUUGUAUCUGAACUGACCCAUCUGCUUCCACUCCCCCAGGAAGCCAACAGCAGUUUCAAAACAUCCCUAGGAGAUUCCAGGAGUGUAGAACAAAGGACAUACUCAAAAACUCAGUGAAGGUCACUUGUGAUUUUGAAGCAAGACUGCUGUAGGUAAAUGGCUCUUGGAGAGGCAGGUAAUUCGGCAUCAGCAGGACUGGUUGCCCAUGCAGCUUGGGAGCUGAUGGCUUGUUCUAUGCAAAGUAAAUGAGCCUCAUACUAAUUUGUCAUCAGCCCAUAAAAAUGUGAACUCUACUGUGACCAAACCAGAUUAGUGCUGUACUCAAUGGCAGCAGUGCUCAGAGCAAAUAAGGCCAAAUCAGGUCAUAAAACCCUUUAACUUGUUUUAAAGUGUCCCUCGUAGUGCAUUGGAUGAAAUCUGGCUUUCAACAUGGUUUUGCUACUGUCACAACCCAGCAAAGAUGCCCUUUAGCUACAGUUGGAUUUAACGCUGACAUCAAUCUCUGUUGACAGAUCCCAUUGCUGCUGUGUGGGUCCAUCAGGCUCAGCAUAGCUUUUCACUGGCAUCAGCAAUCAUGAGAUUUGCCCCAGGAAUGUCCAGGAACCAGCUGCACACCCAAGUCAACAAAGCCACUGCUUCUGCCAGCGCUAAACAGAGGUAAAUCAUUAGUGGUGUAGUAGCAACACCAAAGGGGCAGAUUUUAAAGGGACCCAGUUGCCUUGCUCCUGGGGCGAUUGGAGGAGUGGAGCACAUAAGUGCUGCGGAACACAUCUGGCCCUUGGGGCAUGCUUUCCACAGCAGAUGUAUGACCUGAUUUAUCUGGACCAUCCUCAGCCCACCUGCCUUUGUGUGAAAUACAGCAUCAGGGCCAUUUUAAAACUUGUGAUGAGCAGCUGGUUGUCACCAGCAUGCUUCAUCCAGCUUCCAUCCUCCUGGCUGGGCUUCUGCCUGCAGAAGAAGCUAGAGGAGGCAGAAAGCAGCCCCUGGUAGGCAGAGGAGCUGAGAAACCAAGGCCUCAAAAGAGGGCUGGGAGGGAAGGAAGGCUCUGGAAGUCCACUCUGUCUUGUAUUUUUAUUUUCUUUAACAAGCUCAGGCAUGCUUGGUUUCUCCCAUACGUGUAUCACUGCCAAGUGGUGUCUGUGAGAGCAUCUAUUACAGAGCUGUGAAGUAAUGGGUCCAAGAAGGGAUUAGACAGAUUCAGGGAAGGUAAGGCAAUGGCUGUUAAACUUGGUGGUCUGGACACAACCCUGGGGACAGUGAGGCUGUAAGUUGCCAGUUGCUGGAAGCCAACGGGCUGUUCUAAGUGGAGCCUCAGCUGCUAUACUGCCCAUUCUCAAGGAUCUUCCCUAAGGAAUUUCUCCCAACCCCUACCAAGGUGCUGAGCUAGAUGGACCUUUGAUCUGCCUUCAUAUUGUUAUUUCCUCGUGUACCUUAGGCACAAAAGUAAGAGAUGAACUUAGCCAUCCUCCUCCAUCCCUAGAUCCCAGCAUGCCCAGCACAUGUAGGCUCAGCAAUCUGGGCUGAAGGUUAAAGGCUACGUGCAUCAAGGAGGAAUGCAUACAUCUCUUACUGUUUUCACAGUUCAAUAUGUAGUCUUUUCCAUGUUGAUCACUGCUUUUGACUGACUCCUAUUGGGAGAAGGGAGGGUAGUGGUGGUGAAGGUGGCGUACAGCCUGGGGAGAUGCACCUCUGUGCAGACAUGGGCUGCAGCAGGUGAAGGUCCUGGGGCAAUUUGUUCAGAAACGGAGCUCAAAAUCAGCAGUCUGAGUCAUGUAUCUAAACAUAAUCCAUCCCUCAAUCUUCUCUCCGUUUUACACUGGAGAAAGCUUCUACUCAUACUGAUGACCCUUUGCAAUGCCCUUUCCCUGCUCCCUUGUCCUUCCACAUGUUUGUCUCCUGCUCUGCCUAGACCAUUUCAAGACUAUUGUGUUCCCUGCCUCCUGCCUCUAGGUACUUGUUAGCUCUUCCACUGACACUCUAAAAUUUUGAAGUUACUGAAACUAAGUGAAAACCUUUAGCUCUUAAGUCACUUGAUAUCUUAUUCAUGUAGACUUUGUGUUGUGUCCUUCAGUUUCAAGCUCUUUGCUGAAGACCUACCUCUUCUGGACCAGGACAGUGUUUCCCUUUUUCACAUGUAUGACUUCCCAGGCAUGAGGAGAUUUAAUUGUAUGCUUACUGCUUAAAUUUUCCUCUCCGUCUGCUUUCCAAUAGCAUCCAGUCAUGACAUCCAGUGUGCAUACUGACAGCCAAGCAGGUAUACCUUGGGCACUGUAAUACUAUAGUAUCAGAGAAUGGUUUGAGUUGGAAGGGACCUUUAAGAUCCCUGCUAUAGGCAAGGACACCUCCCUCUAGGCCAGGUUGCUUAAAGCCCCAUCCAGCCUGGCCUUGAAUGCUUACAGGGAGGGGGCAUUCACAGCCUCUCUGAGCAACCUGUUCCAGUGUCUCACCACCCUCACAGUAAAGAAUUUCUUCUUAAUAUCUAGUCUAAAUCUACCCUCUUCCACUUUAAAGCCAUUUCCCCUCAUCCUGUCGCUACCUGCCAUUAUAAAAAGUAGCUCUUCAACUUUCCUGUAGGCCCUUUUCAGGUACCGGAAGGCCUCUAUAAGGUCUCCCUGGAUCCUUCUCUUCUCUAGGCUGAAGAGCCCCAGCUCUCUCAGCCUCUCCUCAUUGGGAAAUUGCUCCAGCCCUCUGAUCACCUUCAUGGCCCUCCUCUGGACUGGCUCCAGCAGCUCUAUGUCCUUCUUGUUCUGGGGCAGUACACCAGGUGGGGCCUCAUGAGAGCAGAGUAGAGGGGCAGAAUCACCUCCCUCGACCUGCUGGUCACGCUUCUCUUGAUGCAACCCAGGAUACAGUUGGCUUUCUGGGCUGCAAGCGCACAUUGCUGGCUCAUAUUGAGCCUUUCAUCAACUGACACCCCCAAAUCCUUUUCCUCAAGGCUGCUUUCAAGCCACUCUCCACCCAACCUGUUUCUGUGCUUGGGACUGCCCCAACUCAGAUGCAGAACCUUGCAUUUGGCCUUGCUGCGCUACAUGAGGUUGGCAUGGGCAUAUCUCUCAAGCCUGUCCAGAUCCCUCUGGAUGGCAUGAAUUUAAUAUAUAUGAAUUUAAUUUAUCAGAGGAUUUUUGGGUGGCUUUACAUGAAGUAUAGAUGAAUUGCUCCACGCAAAAAAUGUACUGAGCUCACUACCUGCUGCAUAGUAGCAUUCAGAGCAACGUUGUUUUACCUGCUACAUACUGAGGCAGCAACUCCCCUGCACUUGCUGUUGUGCUCACUGGCUGCAGUGCAGUGCUCUCACUUUGACUCCAUCCUCACCUGCAUGUAGAUUCUUCCUCAAAAAUCACACAGUCUUCUUCCCUUUCACUUCCUCUUCAGUUUCUUUUAUUACAUCUUCUUCGCAGCUUUGGUUUCACUGAGCUCUGCACAAGAGGAAACAUUGAAGUUAGGACAGGGAGGCCCUAUGUCAACACUGAGACCAAGAAUUAUCAAAAAGAAAUGAAAAGCCAAAACGUCAGUGCAGCACCGUUAGUUCUUUUUGGUGAACAGAACAUUGGUACUCAAGGCAAGAGCUCACUAAAGGUUCUUGACUGUGCUGUAAUGAGUUCUGGGCGUAAACUGCUCUCUGAGUGCUAUGUCCUUUCGUAGAGCAUUGCGUAAAUCCACCUGGCAGUGUAAGCUCCCAUCCUCCAAGUAAUCAGUAUAACAUGGAGUACUACUUCUGAUAAGAGUCAUGGAAUAAUUAAGUUAGAAAGACCUCUAAGAUCAUCUAGUCCAACCAUCAGCCAAUCACCACCAUACCUGCUAACCAUGUCCCUCAGUGUUAUGUCCGCAGGCUUCUUGAACACUGCCAGGGACAGUGACUCCACCACCUCCCACUGCCUCACUGUUCUUUCUGAGAAGAAAUUUUUCCUAAUAUCCAACCUGAACCUCCCCUGGUGCAACUUAAGGUUGCACCAUCUCAUCUUAUUGAUCUGGGAGAAGAGGCUGAACCCCACCUCACUACAACCUCCUCUCAGGGAGUAAUGAAGAGAGAUAAGGUCUCCCCUGAGCCUCCUCUUCUCCACGCUGAACAAUCCCAGUUUCUUCAGCCACUCCCCAUAAGAUUUGUGCUCCAGACUUUCACAGCUUUGUUUGCUGUCUCUGGUCACACUCAAGGGCUUCGAUGCCUUUCUUGUAGUGAGGGGCCCAAAAACUGAACUCAGAGCUUGAGUUGCAGCCUCACUAGUGCUCAGUAGAGGAAGGAUCUGCCUGGACUGGAAGAGAUACCAAGAGCUCAUUUACUUUGAGAAAGGAAACCAUUCUUAUAAAGCUGUAUGGAGGUCUCUGGAUGUUACCUAGCUGUGCAAAUGAAUUCAAACAGAAAGCCCCAAAUCCCCAUUCAUAAUGGACAGAACAUGAAUAACAGCUGAACCACUGUUCAAGCAUGUCAGGCUGCAGGACUGGGGUUCAGUGAUACCCUCCAUAAUAGUAUAUUUCAUUUAUACAUCCAAAUUCCAUGCACAAAACAAACCAAUGCCAAACAAGAAAACAGGAAAAUGAGCGGUUUAAAAUAAGAGUGUGAAGGUUCACAUUUAUGGUUUCUGAUCUGAUUUGCUCAGCUUUUACUAGGAAAUCUUUCAUGUCUGCCAACUUUACUGCCAUUCGGCCUCUGCUCUUUUCUGGCUCAUGCAUCAUCACCAGAAAUAAAAAAUCCUGCAACUGGAACUUAACGAUUCCGCUGCGAGGCAUGAAUCAGAAAUGAAUCCAGAGUUCUCUCCUACAGCACCAUUAGCUCUGCAGUGCUCAUAAAAAUCAUUUGUUGCUAGCAAAUUUUUUGAGCAGAAAAGAACUUCACAGGACUUCUCAGACAGUGAUCUGCUCUAGACGUUCAAGACUUAAUUUGCACACUUGUUUUGCUGUUUGUUAUAAUAAGCACUUUGGAGUACUUAUUACUGGUGUGAAAAAUGCAAUGGUCUUAUAUGUAGAGCACAGCAUGUGGCAUUUCGUGACUCUUUAAUGAGUAUUUCUGUGUUUUCAUGGGACUAUACGUCAGUAGUACACAAUGCAAAUCAAACAGACUCUAUGCUGCUGAGUUCUCAAAUUGCACUACAAUAGCAUUUUUUCCUUCUUUACAUAAAAACACAUACAUAUCUUGAUCUCACAAACUGGACAUUGUUUUUCCUGCCGAUAAAACCAAAAUUAUUCUGGACUGUGUAUUGCAAAGAGACGUCCAAAGUGACAAGGUUGUGAGAGUCUGCUGAGAAUCUCAGCUUUACACAGGGAGCAGAGCAGGCCAGCUUCAAUCAUCUGUGGCACUGCUAGAUGGCUGAGCAGAUAUUGGACUACAGAGGCGAAGUCCCAUUAACACCACUAGAAAUUAUUUCUGAACAUGAAAUGCAAAGGAGAACUCUGUAUUUGCUCACUAGGGGAGGAAGCAAUGCCACAGUAAGAAAGCUGUUCUUGCAAAUUAUUUAUUGCUGAGUUUGGGGUUGAUUAGGACUUUUGCCAGGUAGUAAAUCACUGCAGGCCACGGAAAUUUUAUUUUUAAGCAUUGCUCUUUUGGAUGCCCCAAAAAUUGCUUUAGCUGUGAAUUAUUCUGAAAGAUCAUGGCCAAUAAAAAUGUGUAAACCAUAAAUCAGAGCCAACGCAUCCCUGAUGGAGAACCUGAGUAUAGAAUAGAAAACCAGAAUCAGGACUACUAAGAAAUAUGUAUCUUUUUCUUCUGCAGGUACAGGAAGGUGUAAAUCCUGAGCCUAAGUGUUCAAAGGGGUUGCCUCAACUACUCCACAAACCUAUAGGCAUCCACAGAAAAAUCACCUUUGUGUGCCUGAGCAACUUGUCUACACCAUCUCUGUAUGUUGCUUUCCUCUCCUGUCAGUUCUGCCAGUUAUAUUGAGUGUAAAAGCCUGGUUCCAGUUAUCUGUCCCACAUUUAGCAACCAUGCUCUCAUUGCUCUUGAGCUGCAGCAGAGAGGAUGGGACCAAGUUGGUCGAAGAAUCUCUAGCUCCUCUGUAGCUCAGCACUCUCUAGGUAAAAUACUGAACAAAAAAAGAAGGGGAGCCUGCCAGUGAAGAAGUCCAAACAGAGAAGGCAGUGGAUAUUCUACUCUUUCCAAGUCAUUACUUCACUCAGCACAGCCUGUUAUUUGGAGGGCCCAUGGAAAGCUGUCCAGGCAGGGAAGCAUGCUGUUGCUGAGAGGUCUGCCUCUAUCCGUCAGUAAUGGGUGCUUGUGUGAGCAGAGCAUUUGCAAGGAAUUUUACAAGGUGAGUGGUAGGGGAAUCUGAAUUUUGGGUGGUGGAUGGAAAUACUAAGUAAUGUGAGAAUAAUUCUGUUCAUGUGACCUAUGUCUGUGGGUGGCAGCAUUUGCACCUCCAUUACGGCUUCCCUUGACGUGUUAGAUGUGCUCAGUUGUGCCCCUGGAGCACCAACACGCUGAUUUGUGUGUUGAACUGACUGAUCAUAUGAACACCCCUCAGUGAAACCUUCAAAAUAGCCUGUUUUAGGUAAUAUAAAAAUAUCCUUUGUCGAAUGACUGCUUUAGGCAGAAGUGAUGGGAAAGAAUACAUUCAAGUUGGCUUGUUCUAUUUGAUACUCCUUUUUUCCUACCUAAAAGCUGUUGGGAAGAGUGUGACUCUCCAUCAGUGGAGCUCUGUUGGCAGUUUCAAUAGAUGUAAGUUGUAAAACGAGCUGCACUUUGGCAUUUUAUCACCAACAGCCCAAACCAGCAGCAGUCCAGGAUGGAUCCCAGCUCUGAAUCACAAGCAUGAAUCGAAAAGAAAACAUGAUACAUCACUUAGCUUCUCACUGUUGCUACCUGCAAUAUUAGCAGUGCUUCCUGAACCACUAUGCCAUAUAAAACCUUGAACAGGAUCUUCCCACACCCCAUUCCACGGCACUCAUGCACUUUCUUGCAGAAAUAAGGACUAAGCUGAAAGGGAGUGCAUUGUUUGUAAGGAGAAGAAGAGGAUGAAGAUGUGUAGCAGUAUGGCUACUUUCCCUCUUGUGACCUCCCAUCUUAUGAUCCUCACUCUGGUGAUGGUAAUUUACAGGAGAGAAGAGUACACCCCCUUGUAUCACAGCAAGCAUCACUUUGGACAUCUCUGCACUAGGUUUUCUCUUCUCAUUGCACAGCAUUUUGAAGUCAAUUCUCCACAUGUACAAUUAGUGCUAGGCCUUUAUACUUGGUCAGCAAAGAGUUACAAAAUUAAAUAUUUUCAACAAACCAGCUAAUGUAUGCCCUUGUGUAAGCAGCUCUUGCAAGAGAAGAACAAGUUCAAAAUAAAUCAUUACAUCAAUUACUUUGUGUCUGUGCACAAGUUACUAAUUAUCUCUGAAUAUAAACACCAAUAAAGAUAGAGACUAUUUCUAAGUAUUUACUCUGUAAAUUGUCAGUGACCUGACUACUUGGCUACUACAUUAAAUGAUUGUUUCUCUGUGUUAAUGUAUUCCAGGCUGCAAAGUCCUGCCUGCUCUAAAAUUAAAGAUCUGAAUUCAGCAGAGCAAAUGGAUAUUACCUUGACUUGAAAGUGUUGAAAUUUCUGGAACUUGCGGUCUUGCUUGUAGUAUCUACUGAUGGAUGACAUAUAUUUCAAAGCAAAAAUUCACUCAUCCCUACCUGAAUGGGCUCCUCGGUCACGGGGAUCAUGACCUCUUAGGAGGUAAGUCCCACACCAAGUCCAACUGGCUAAUCUUGGUGCAUGGUUAGCAAUGGGGACGGUGACUCAAUAUUUACAUCCUGUUUCUCCAACUUGAUGGAAAGAAAUUCUAACAAAAAAAUAAAAUAAUAAAAUAAAAUAAAAUAAAAUAAAAUAAAAUAAAAUAAAAUAAAAUAAAAUACUUGAUCCCUUUGACCCACUGAGGUCAAUGGAAAAACUCCCAUAGAUGUGAUAUGGACUCAGAUAAAGACUUAGUCUCCAUUUCCAUUGAUGGUAUGGAUGUUCAGCCACUGAAAUGAUAAAAAGAGACACAUAUGCUGAAUUAGAAAAAUUCUCAUUUCACAAAUUGCUCAGAUACAAAUUUUUAGUUUGUUAUUUUCUACAUGAACAAAUGAAAGAUAAAUGGAAAUGAUCUCUAAAUUCUUGUCUCAGUACAUUGAAGAGAGAGCAAGAACAUCAGGUUGCUAGAACUGAUGGCUGAAGGAACUCUGUUCAUCCCAAAUUUUCAGCCAGUUAUUUCAUUUCAUUUGAUCACCAUCCAUUUAGUUUUGUUAAAUGGAAGAAAACUCAUUGUUUAAUAUUAAUAUUAAUAAUAAAUAUUAUGGACAUUGACCAAUCAAUCAAACUUGGAUGGGCUCAGAGCAAGUAUUUGUGAACUGUGAGCAAAGAUUUCUAUGUCAUGCAGUGGAGGUGUACGUUCAUGGACUGGGAAUUUAGGCUUCUGCUAACAAGAUACCUCCAAUCCUUUUCUGCUCAGUGAUUCUUCCUGCUCAUGGAAAGUAGCGUGCUGUAGUGGGAUGGGGAGAGAGAGGAGAUAGUGCCCUGCAGAACUGGACACGGUGAGGAUGUGGAUCAAGACUCAGGAAUUAAGGAGUAUUCUUGUACUGCCACUUUAGCUGUAAUCAGAGAAUCUCUUUGAAAUCCUACUUUAAGUGAAAAAUUAAAGGUGUACAUUUGUGGAAGUAACUCCAAAUUCAAGGUUCUAAAGUAAAGAAAUGCAAAGUGGGCAGCAAAAUACAUGUGCCAGACACCUCAGACUGGAGUGACUAAAAAACACUUUCUAGCAAGUGCUGGGUGGGACUUUGCUGAUUUAGUGGGCUCCAGAUUGGAAACAAAGAAAUACCUACACCACAAAUGCCUUCCUUGUUGUGAAGGCUUCUUCAUAUCUAUUUCUCCUGUCCGUACAACAGUUGCAGCACUUAUUCAGUGGAACAGAAACAAAGACACUUAGAAGGUUUUCCAGACAUUUAAUCAACCAUCAUCUUCAUGGAAAGAUAGACAAGGUGUAAUUCUGAAUAAAUUCUUAGGAACAUGGACAGAGCUAAGAUCACUGUAAGGUUGCAUUAAUGAAAGGAUGUUUGAAUAUGGUCAUUGGCAGUGCACCUUUACUGACACUUCAUUCAGCACUAAAACUCCCACUGGGAGCAGCUAUGACAAAUAGACAUACAUGCAUACCACAGAUUAUACUGGGAAUCUUGGGUGCUCCUUUGAAUGGAGAGUGCCAAAAGGCAAAAGACCUCCAGAAGAGCUGACAUUCCGUAUUACACAUUUUUUUUCCAUAAAUCAUAUAUUCGCAAAGGCUCUUCUUCAGGUUGUUUUUGUUUCUUUUGUUUUUGUUUUUGUUUUAUCUUCUCCAUACUUUCAGUCCACAAAGAAAGAAGUAAAAAGAUAAUCCUGAACUCCAGUAUGGACUGCUUUGUUCAUGGUUCAGAUGAAUUCUCCUGCUUUAAGAACAAAAAUUUGAUGAAUUUCCUUAUACUGAAAAUGGUGAUGGUAACUGUUAGAUCAGUAAUGGCAAAAUGUUUAUCUAAACAAGUCCUAUAUUUCUGAUAUAAAAUGCCUCAAUGUGUGUCUGCAGAUUUAUAGAAGGGGGAGAAAGGGAAAGAUUGAGUCCAUGGUGAGAGAGGAAAAGAAAAUAAGGACCCUCUGCAUGAUGUUUGCAGUAAAUUUCUCAGGCAGCUGAUGUUUAUACCAGCACUGUUCCCAUCAGAUUAAGGCACGUAAUGUAGGGACAUAAUCACCCUUAACUUCCCCUCGUAAUCAAGGGGUAAAAGCAGUCACACUGAUAUCCUGUGAUGUGUGCUCUGAAUUCUGAAGCUCUAAACAGAGUAUUCUGUAGAAUUUCCUUACGCCACUAACUAUAGAGGAUUCUAUGGUUGACCAAUUUCACUAUAGACUGAGGCAAUUAUUUGUGCCAGAUGGGAAGCCAGCCCAUAGAUGUAUUGCUCUGCAACAGAGGCUUGUCUCCAUGUUCAAACUAAAAUGUUGCCUUACUGCUCCAUCAAGCACAGCAUGGAAUGGAAAUACACAGCAAAAUCUUCUGUCUUCAGCCCUAAGCUUUUCUGAAUGAUAAAGAUGAUAAAGAGCCUGGAGCAUCUCCCGUAUGAGGAAAGGCUGAGUAACAUGGGUCUGUUUAACCUAGGAAAAAGAAGACUUAGAAGGGAUCUGAUUAAUGUUUAUAAAUAUCUAAAGGGAGGUGGGAAGCAAAUGAAUGAGGCCAGGCUCUUCUUAGUGGUGCGUAGUGAUAGGACAAGGAGUAAUGGCCUAAAACCUGAGCAUAGGAAGUUCUGUACUAACAUGUGGAAGAACUUCUUUACAGUAAGAGUGAUAGAGCACUGGAUCAGGCUGCCCAGAGAAGUUGUGGAGUCUCUUUCUCCAGGGAUAUUCAGGGAUAUUCAAGAACUAUUUCAACGCCCACCUGUGUGACCUAUUGUAGGGAACCUGCCUUAGCAGGGGUUGGACUCUUUAGGUCUCUUCCAAUUCCUGCAAUUCUGUGAUUCUGUGGGUAGAGAUUAAAAAUAAGAUAUAACAUUAUGUAAGAGAACACAGGAUAGAACAAACUUUAAUAUCAAGGAGAGGAUUUUGAAAGACAUAAGUGAUGCUGAAACAAAAGUGCUGCUGAAGGUGUUGUGUGUCUUUCUGCUCUUUAUAACUCCAGAAAUGUUCUUUCUCUAUAGCAAAUCCCAACUAAUUGGUCAAUUGAUCAAAAUAUAUUUCUUUUUUCACAAAAAUGUCUUAACAAAACCAAUUUGUAGAAACUCGUCAAACAUUUAUAUGGGGUGAUGCUUAUGAGAAAGUGAAAAAUAUUUAUGUUUUCAGAUUUUCAAGGAAAUCUGAACUAUUUCCAUGAACUUUCAUUUCACUUUGCCUGCAGAAGUGUUUUUUAUUACGCUUUUCAUCAAAUGAAUGAACUGAAAAUGUGAUUAGCUAAUUUAUUCUGGUAAAGAAAUAAUCAUACAGCAAUGCAGCAUUUUGAAAUAUUUCUAUGAAGCAGAUGGAAUGUGUUUGGUUUUUUUCCAGCUCUUAUGAUGUUGUGCAAAUACGUUGUCCCUUUCUUGUUGACUGCAACCUUAUUAAAGUAAAUGCAAUAGGUGAUGUGGCAAGGAUGAGCCAUAAAAACGUGCCAGAGAGGAUGAAAUCUGCAUGCCUGAAGCCAGGUACAGUCACGUGCAAAUUAGCAUUGUCCACAUUAACCUUAAUUUCCCAAAAUAAAACAGAAGAAGGCCUUAGUUACAAUACUGUUACUGCUCUCUGUUGCCAAAUUUCUGCCCACAGUGUAGUUUUAUGGAGAAUUCUGUGAGUUCAGAAAAUAAGUUUUGUGGAAAAGCUGCCAAAAAGAGAGCCUGCCCAUACUAGUAUAAACAUUGUUCUUACUGCUAUACAAAACUGCUUUGUAUAGUGCUGGAGGCUACCUCGGUGAUUUCUGAGAUGGCACUGUCUUCAUUACAAAUGCUCUGAAGGCAGUAGUUGUAGUUUGUGUGGCUCAGUAGAAAUAGCAGUAACCUACAGCCUACUGAAAUUCUGUGGCUGACCAAGAGUGCAGUUAUUCUUUAAUUGACAGUGGAAGAGUUCAAAGGGAAACCAGAAGCAGUCUCAAAAAAGCAACGAAAUGCGGCACAUCUGGGAGUGUGUAUAAAUCCACACUGUGUAUGAAGCCAUGAUCCUCAAAACUAAGGUCUUGUCUUUAGCCAGUGUACACACACACACAGUGUAUGUAUAAGCACUAGUGGUGGCAACAGACAACCAUCAGCAGCUCAGACCAAAUAUCUGAAUUGUUCUGUUAUUAAGCUACUCUUAUAAAGAAAGAACUGUUUCAUCCUCCUCCUCCUCACCCUUCACGAUAUCAGCAUCCCAUCUGACACCAUCAAGGGUGUAAUUUCCUUCACUUCAGACACUUUGAAAAUUUAACUGAGAAUAAAUGUUAUCUCUUUCACUGGUUGUAUAAGCAACCACAGCAAUUAUAUAACUGCCCAACUUCCUUUCAGGAUAAAAUGCACAUAGAGCGAUAGAAAGAAACAUAAGGAGAUCCAGAAUAUGUAUUUUUCCUGAGAAACUAACCCAACAAUUCCAACUAUAAAAAUGAAAGUAAAGCAAAGUUUAAAAAUACUGCAAUAUGAAGAAAAUAAAAUAUGAAGAAAAUAGACUCACUGCAUAUCACAGUCUGGCUGCAUUUGGACAAGAAAUCCUCUCCCACCAAAUCCAAACUCUGCAGUCCUUGCAUAAAUCAAUGACUUCAUCUUUGGUGACUCACUGCCUACAAUAUUUAUAUUCAGCAGACUGUUCCUCGUGGGAAAGUGUCUGUGCUGCUGGGACCUAUAUCUCUUUCUGAUCCUUAUAGACAAAGACAAAGUAAAGAGGAUGUUCUCUCACCUUGCCUUAAUUCCACACGCUUUGCACAUUAUCCCAGUUGGAUUUCUGUCCUCGAUUUCAUAACAGUGUUGAACAGUUCUUUGUCUCCUGAGAAACUUCAUCUUCAUGUUGAGGGAAUAGUGGAGAGAAGAACGUAUGUGAGUGCGUUCAUGUCCAUGAUGUGAAUCCUCUUGGUAGACUGUUAUAGCGCGUUACCCUGAGAUAACAGGAAGGCUGAAAGAUAAGUACUUACUAAAUGUGAGAUGGCAGUGGUGCAUGCAAUAUUCAUUUAGCUUCAGAGCCUGUAAGAGUGAUGAUGCAUUCUUUCAUUACAUGCUCAUACACUCUUUCUCGGAUACUCUCUCCCAUUUUUGGUUAUGUUUUCCUUUUAUCUGAGCUGGUCACCCAAGGCUCCCUUUAUAGUCAAUAAGAAUAAACUGGCAUUUCUGCAAUGCAAUUCAUCUCAUCUGAAAACAGACAACUAAACUAUGACAGCUGAAUCAUUUACACCUGCAUAAGAUAUAGCCACGUGGCCUGAUUUAGCUCACAAUUGCCCCAUAUGAAAGGCAGGAUAAAGGACAAUCCAACUCAUCCAUUUCCAUUCCUCUUUAAACUUCAAGGCAGUAAUGUGAGUUAUCUCUAAAAUAUUUCUGAGAGAUGAAAAGAAAGCCAAACUGGCAGAGAAAAUUGCUUACAAUUUCCCUCAUUUCUGUAGAUCAUUGAAUGCGCCACAUUAUCUUUAUGAAAG